rnacentral:rRNA from 1 species
UACGUAGGGUGCAAGCGUUAAUCGGAAUUACUGGGCGUAAAGCGUGCGCAGGCGGUGAUGUAAGACAGAUGUGAAAUCCCCGGGCUCAACCUGGGAACUGCCUUUGAUACUGGCGAUCUUGAGUUCGGGAGAGGUGAGUGGAACUGCGAGUGUAGAGGUGAAAUUCGUAGAUAUUCGCAAGAACACCGGUGGCGAAGGCGGUUCUCUGGGCAUUACCUGACGCUGAGGAGCGAAAGUGUGGGAGCGAACAGG